UUUGCCGCCAUUUAACAAUUGUUUUAAAAGCAAUUCUAAAACAUCUUUCUACAUUUAUUUAUGUUCCUAGGAAUGUGCAUGAAUGGCAUACAGUGAAGUCCAACUUUUACCAAGUAGCCGGUAUGCCCAAUGUUCUUGGUGCUAUAGAUUGCACCCAUAUUGCUCUUAGACCACCAUCCCUAAGGGAGGAGCAAUAUAGGAACAGGAAAAGCUUUCAUUCCCUAAACAUACAGGCUGUGUGUGAUGCAAACCUUAGAAUUUGGGCUGUUCGAUCUGGGUUUCCUGGAUCAUGUCAUGAUUUCCACAUCCUAAAACAAUCUGCACUAUUUUCUGCUUUUGAACAGGGCAACAUGCCACACGGUUGGCUAUUAGGUAAAUAUGAACUUAUUUCCAUAUAAUCUAAUUAUAAUGCAAUCAGUUCUCUGUAUUUUUUGUAAGUUUUUUUCUGAUUUGCACUUUAUACAUGUCAUUAAUAUAUAUAAGAAUUAUGAUUAAUUGUAAUGUUUAAAUUAUUUAUAAUCUCUAAUCAAUUUUUCUUUUGAAAAAAUAGGUGAUAGUGGUUAUCCGUGCCGAACUUGGCUGUUGACACCUGUCCCAAUGCCACAUACCAGAGGAGAAAUUAAAUUUAAUGAAUCCCACCGUAGCACAAGAAGUGCUAUCGAAAGAACUUUUGGGGUUUUAAAAAUGCGUUUCAGAGUUUUGGAUAGGUCUGGAGGAGCACUUCAAUAUUCGCCUGAAAAAUGUAAUGAUAUAAUUCUUGUUGCAUGCAUGUUGCACAACAUUGCAAUUUCCCAAGGCAAUUUAGAGGAGGAGUGUCCCAAUGAUCCCACAGAUGACACUUAUAUCCCUCAAGAAAUUAUAGGCAGACACACUACAAGGGCAGGUGUACAAAAUAGAUUGGAAAUUAUUGAAAGAUAUUUUUCAUAAUACAUGUCAUCACCCCGAGUUUUAAUUAUUUUAUAAGAAAUGUACACAAUUCUUUGAUAUUGAAGUUAACUCCACCCAUUUGAAAAAAUAAAACUUUUGCUUAUUUAUCAAAAA